rnacentral:rRNA from 1 species
UACGGGGGGGGCAAGCGUUGUUCGGAAUUACUGGGCGUAAAGGGCUCGUAGGCGGCCAACUAAGUCAGACGUGAAAUCCCUCGGCUUAACCGGGGAACUGCGUCUGAUACUGGAUGGCUUGAGUUUGGGAGAGGGAUGCGGAGUUCCAGGUGUAGCGGUGAAAUGCGUAGAUAUCUGGAGGAACACCGGUGGCGAAGGCGGCAUCCUGGACCAACACUGACGCUGAGGAGCGAAAGCCAGGGGAGCAAACGGG